GACGAACGCUGGCGGCGUGCUUAACACAUGCAAGUCGAACGGUAAGGCCCUUCGGGGUACACGAGUGGCGAACGGGUGAGUAACACGUGGGUGAUCUGCCCUGCACUUCGGGAUAAGCCUGGGAAACUGGGUCUAAUACCGGAUAGGACUCCUGGCUUCAUGGUUGGGGGUGGAAAGCUUUUGCGGUGUGGGAGGGGCCCGCGGCCUAUCAGCUUGUUGGUGGGGUAAUGGCCUACCAAGGCGAGGACGGGUAGCCGGCCUGAGAGGGUGACCGGUCACAGUGGGACUGAGAUACGGGCAAGACUCCUACGGGAGGCAGCAGUGGGGAAUAUGGCACAAUGGGCGCAAGCCUGAUGCAGCGACGCCGCGUGAGGGAUGACGGCCUUCGGGUUGUAAACCUCUUUCAGCUAUGACGAAGCGCAAGUGACGGUAGUAGCAGAAGAAGGACCGGCCAACUACGUGCCAGCCGCCGCAGUAA
rnacentral:rRNA from 1 species